rnacentral:lncRNA from 1 species
CAGGACCUUCCAUUUUAACUGGAUUCAUACAUAGAGAGAAAAGUUGACAUACUGUGAUGUCUGAGGAUAUCUAUGCCAACCAAGACCUCCCCAAGAAAGUUAGGUUUCAAAGAAAUGAAGAAGGCAAUGAAGAAGAGAGUGACAAAAAUAUAAAGGAUUAUGUGGAUAGUGUGAAGAUUUAUGAAAACUUCCAGGCAGAGGGGAACUCACCUCCUACAGUAGAGGACAACACCACUGAGGACCAACAGCAGAUUAAUUCUGUCGAUGUGAAUUCAGAGAAGAAAAACUACGUCAAAACUGCUUUACUGCUCUUGGGACUGCUGUGUUUUCUCCUCCUGGUUGCUGUCAUCGUCUUAAUGACCAUCAGCAUCUCAGAGAGAAAUCUGAGAACUGAGCUUCAGAAAAGCAAUGGAAAUUUGGAAAGGUCUAAUCAGAACCUGACCAAAAGGAGCAGACUGUUAGAAGAUGAGAAAACCAACCUGACCAUUGAGAGAGACCAACUGGAGGCCAUUAACUCUAAUCUAACUAGUAAACAAUACCAGUUAAAAACCAUUAACUCCAACCUAACCAGUGAGAGAGACCAGUUAAAGACAAUC